UAGGGAAUCUUCCUUUNAAUGGACGGAAGUCUGACCGAGCAACGCCGCGUGAGUGAAGAAGGUUUUCGGAUCGUAAAGCUCUGUUGUAAGAGAAGAACGAGUGUGGGAGUGGAAAGUUCACACUGUGACGGUAUCUUACCAGAAAGGGACGGCUAACUACGUGCCAGCAGCCGCGGUAAUACGUAGGUCCCGAGCGUUGUCCGGAUUUAUUGGGCGUAAAGCGAGCGCAGGCGGUUAGAUAAGUCUGAAGUUAAAGGCUGUGGCUUAACCAUAGUACGCUUUGGAAACUGUUUAACUUGAGUGCAAGAGGGGAGAGUGGAAUUCCAUGUGUAGCGGUGAAAUGCGUAGAUAUAUGGAGGAACACCGGUGGCGAAAGCGGCUCUCUGGCUUGUAACUGACGCUGAGGCUCGAAAGCGUGGGGAGCAAACAGGAUUAGAUACCCUGGUAGUCCACGCCGUAAACGAUGAGUGCUAGGUGUUAGACCCUUUCCGGGGUUUAGUGCCGCAGCUAACGCAUUAAGCACUCCGCCUGGGGAGUACGACCGCAAGGUUG
rnacentral:rRNA from 1 species